UACAUAUUCCAGGUAUAAAGAUAAGAUAAGUAAGGCACAUUGACUACUAAAGUGUACAUGGGAAGGCUUAUCUUUUUCAGAGGUCAUUACUGUAAAUAGAAUCAUUGAAAAUUGCAAGACAUUAAUUUGUGGAAUGAACAUACAGAGAGAGCUGAUAUUUUGAAGAAACACACACAGGAAUAUUCCACUUCAGCCUCACUUCCACUCUAGCUGCUAAGCUCUUUGGGAGCUAUUAUUACAGGAGAAAAGACACUGUUAUCAAUAGAGAACAUAUGUGUGUGAUUUUGGUGAGUGGAGAUGAUGAAGAAGAUGGAGGUGAUCCAAGAUGUGUGAAACACCGACGUUGCCGAAUUAAGCCUGGCAAGUUGCUCAGUUUCUUCAGAAAGCAACUCAUGGAGAAGUACAAAUCAUAGUUAGAAAGUUGAGAGAUUUCAACGAGAAGCGCAGGACCUUCAAGUCACAUGGUUACCUUCAGAAUGCACUCACCAAUUGGUACAGUUAUGAAACAUCUAGAAGUCAUCCAUUCUUGUAUAGACUUACUCUCCUGACAAGUCUACUUGCUAUGAAACAGCUGUUUAGUCAUGUCGCCAAGAAGAAAAGAAGACAGAAUGCCUCUAGAUAAAGAAAUGCUAUUCCUGCGUCAACUUUCUGUGCAAAGUGUGGACUGUGGACCAGCAGCAUGUGCAUUGCCUGGCAGCUUGUUGGAAAUGCAGAAUCUGAAGCUCUCAUCUAGACCUACUAAACAGACUUCACUUUAACAAUAUAUCUGGGCAAGUCAUAUAGUCAUUAAAAUUUGAGAAGUAUGAUCUAGCAUAGAUAUUACUUCAUAAUAAAUGUUUAAUGUUUCAGUUACUGUUGCUGCAUAGCAAAACACCCCAAAAUUUAGUGACUUAAAAUGACAACUACCAUUUUAUUGUGAGGAAUUCAGGAAAGGCUCAUUUGGGUGUUUGGCUUAUGAUCUUUCAUAUGGGUACAGUCAGACAAUGUCUGGAUCUGGGACUCUGGGGGACUGAAGCACCUAGUCACUGGUCUGACAUCUUUUUUUCUUCUUAUAUAAUCUCAGGGCCUCUCUAUGUAAUCUCACUGCUAGGCUAGUUUGGGCUUCCCAAAGCCUGGUAGCCUGAGGUCAGUUGGACUGCUUACACAUGGCCAAUGGCUUCAAAAAGGAGUACUCUAGUGGAUAGAGCACAAGUUGCUUGGCUUUUCUGAUCUAGCCUCAGAAGUCACUUCUGCCAUGCUCUAUUUGUUGAAACACUGUGAAACAUCAUCAGUUUGAAGGAGACAGUAUGCACACCUUACCUCUUAAUGGGAGGGUUGUCAAAGUCUCUCUGUAAGAAGAGCAUGGUAUAGGAGAUAUUGUUGUAGCCACCUUUGCAAAAUACAAUUGACACACUUAAUAUUUGUAACUAUUGCCUUUACUCCUUUAUUGUGUAGAUGUAAAUCAGUGAUUAAUUCCAGGUUAAAGGUACUUUUUGGCAUGCUCAAUAGCUGUCUUUACUUUACAGGAGGAGGUAGAGUACCAGGUGGGUUUUCCAAAAGGCAUGCUGAAAAUUAUUAGUAGUUUGAUAAAGAUUCUGAUGAAUUCCUCAAGGCUAAAUGCAGUGCAGAAUUUUUCCUUGUCAUCUUCUUUGAUCUUCUCAGUGAGAAAUUAUCUCAUCUUCCUCCAAAGCCCAUUAGAAUGUUGCCUAUUUUAAAAGUUGAGCUCUUCAUAUCAUAAAUUAAAUAUUGUGUCUAAAGAGUUUCUGGCAUAUGCUACAUACUCAAUGAUUGCAGGUAUUUUCAUUAAAGUUA